rnacentral:misc_RNA from 1 species
GAAAUGCGAUACGUAAUGCGAAUUGCAGAAUUCAGUGAAUCAUCGAAUCUUUGAACGCAAAUUGCGCUCCCGGGUUACCCCCGAGAGCACACCUCUCUGAGUGUCGGUUUAACCAAAUGUCACCAAUUUUUGGUGUACGACAGACUGAGGGUAAGGAGCCUCGGCUUCUUUCCCUUUAAAUCCCAGCCGCACGACUGUGUGUGUUCGUGGCAAGUUGCUUUCACUUAAUUGUGAAUCCAAUCCACAAACCCUACGUUAUGCAGCAAAAGAAACAAAUGAACAAAGUGUGAGCUUUCGAGUGAACGCUUUGUGCAUCUAUGAAUUAGACCUCAGAUGAAGUGGGAAGACCCCCUGAAUUUAA